GUCAGAGAAGAGCCUGCUACAGAAAGUGGAGGAGCUCACCGCCAACUCAAUCCUCCGCUGUCCCAGCAUGCAGCAGCGCCAGAGGCUGGACGAGCGGCUCCAUGCGCUCAGGGAGGAGGUGCGGUCUGUGUCCCAGGAGAAGGAGCGCGGUGAACGUGUUUGGAGAGACAGGCUACAGCGAUGCCAGGCACUACUCAGGGCCAAAGAAGAAGAGAUGGGCCACCAGUCGCAGUACUUUGAACGCUUUAAAAGCCAGUUACAGCAGAAGCUUGACCUGGCCAGAGACCGAGAGCAAAGCCUGCAGACCAGAGUCCGCCAACUGGAGAAUCAGGUCCUGGAGAUGACUGGGUCUGAAACCACCAACAUAACCAGAGUUAAUGCAGCCUGCCUCAACACUGCUACUGCAGCCAAUGUCAGCAGUGUCAUGGCAACCACCUCAGCUCAACAUAGGGCAGAGAUGGACUCAGAGAGACUGCCCCACCCAAGAGAGGAAGGAGAGGGAGAGGAGGAGGACAGGGAGGAGACGACACUGUGGAGACACUAUGCACAGCAGCUCCAGCAGAAACCGGGGGAUGAUGAUGAUGGAGAGAUAGAGGGUGAAGGAGAGGCUGAAAGUCCAGGAGCUGGGGCCAAACUGAGAGACUUUAUCCUCAGCCUUCAAGAGGACCUCAGAGGACUGCUGGGGAGGGAGGAGCAGGGGAUUGCGGAGCGGAGGGGACUGAUGGAGCAACUGCAGGAGGCACAGGAGAAUGUCCGCUUCCUCUCAUGUGAGGUGGAGGAGAUGAGGACACUGGUCCACACGCUGAAGCUGACGGAGAGCUCCCUGACAGAGGAGGUGGAGGAGCUGCAGGAAGAGAACCGGAGACUGUGUCAGAGGCUCAGCUACACCCUCAGAGAGAUCAACCACCACUCUGGUUCUGCUGAGCUGGACUCUAAACUCAGUCCCGGGUCCAGCUCAGCAGACCCAGGACCCAGCCUGGAUAACCCAUCGCCAAACUCCCCUGCCCUUGAUCAAGCAAGUCCUUCCUCUGUGGACAAUUUUGGCCCGGUGAAGCUGACCCCAGGCCUGUCAUUGCGAGACACACCUAUCUCAGCCCACCGAUAUGGAACAGCCCCGAGGUCCCAGGAAGACUCCAUUUUGCCUCUGCCCCAGCCGGACCUCCUGAACCUCUCAGGCCACCUUCGUGAGAACCCGGGUCUCCUAGCACCAGGGACAAAGAGCAGU
ensembl:lncRNA